rnacentral:rRNA from 1 species
CCUACGGGGGGCGGCAGUGGGGAAUAUUGGACAAUGGGCGAAAGCCUGAUCCAGCCAUGCCGCGUGAGUGAUGAAGGCCCUAGGGUUGUAAAGCUCUUUCAGUGGGGAAGAUAACGACGGUACCCACAGAAGAAGCCCCGGCUAACUUCGUGCCAGCAGCCCCGGUC